AAAUUGAACGUUUAUUACCAAAGAAAAAAACAAGUGUAAACCAUGGGAUAAAAUUAUUUAAAAAUAACAAAAAUCUAUGAAGAAAAUUCUCAAAUGAUUACUGCAAUGAGUUGGAAUUAACAAUAAAAGAUCACUUUAUUAAUUAUAUAUAUAAUAUAUGAAAACAAGGCACCAACAAUGAUUAAUUUAGUUAUUACGUAUAAUACUUUACCAGGGCCGUACAUGGGCUGCCACCACCACAUCAUGACUGUGAAAGUGGCGGAGCAGCUGCAAUUUUAUUCCAACAUUACAAAUGACUUGGCACAAUAAAUUGUUACCUACACAGAAACAUUCCCUUUCUUGUUCUUGUCAUGGGAAACCAUCAUCAUCCGCUCCCCCUCCUCCAUAUCCAGAACCACCGCCGUACCCUGAACCAUAGCCAGAGCCAGAUCCGUUCUC
rnacentral:misc_RNA from 1 species